rnacentral:rRNA from 1 species
AUGAACGCUAGCUACAGGCUUAACACAUGCAAGUCGAGGGGCAGCAUUUUAGUUUGCUUGCAAACUGAAGAUGGCGACCGGCGCACGGGUGAGUAACACGUAUCCAACCUGCCGAUAACUCCGGAAUAGCCUUUCGAAAGAAAGAUUAAUACCGGAUAGUAUACGAAUAUCGCAUGAUAUUUUUAUUAAAGAAUUUCGGUUAUCGAUGGGGAUGCGUUCCAUUAGUUUGUUGGCGGGGUAACGGCCCACCAAGACUACGAUGGAUAGGGGUUCUGAGAGGAAGGUCCCCCACAUUGGAACUGAGACACGGUCCAAACUCCUACGGGAGGCAGCAGUGAGGAAUAUUGGUCAAUGGGCGAGAGCCUGAACCAGCCAAGUAGCGUGAAGGAUGAAGGCUCUAUGGGUCGUAAACUUCUUUUAUAUGGGAAUAAAGUUUUCCACGUGUGGAAUUUUGUAUGUACCAUAUGAAUAAGGAUCGGCUAACUCCGUGCCAGCAGCCGCGGUAAUACGGAGGAUCCGAGCGUUAUCCGGAUUUAUUGGGUUUAAAGGGAGCGUAGGUGGAUUGUUAAGUCAGUUGUGAAAGUUUGCGGCUCAACCGUAAAAUUGCAGUUGAAACUGGGAGUCUUGAGUACAGUAGAGGUGGGCGGAAUUCGUGGUGUAGCGGUGAAAUGCUUAGAUAUCACGAAGAACUCCGAUUGCGAAGGCAGCUCACUAGACUGUUACUGACACUGAUGCUCGAAAGUGUGGGUAUCAAACAGGAUUAGAUACCCUGGUAGUCCACACAGUAAACGAUGAAUACUCGCUGUUUGCGAUAUACAGUAAGCGGCCAAGCGAAAGCAUUAAGUAUUCCACCUGGGGAGUACGCCGGCAACGGUGAAACUCAAAGGAAUUGACGGGGGCCCGCACAAGCGGUGGAGCAUGUGGUUUAAUUCGAAGCAACGCGAAGAACCUUACCUGAUCUUGACAUCCUGAUGACCACUCCGUAAUGGGAGUUUUUCUUCGGAACAUCAGAGACAGGUGGUGCAUGGUUGUCGUCAGCUCGUGUCGUGAGAUGUUGGGUUAAGUCCCGCAACGAGCGCAACCCCUAUCUUCAGUAGCCAGCAUUCAGGAUGGGCACUCUGGAGAGACUGCCAGGGAUAACCUGGAGGAAGGUGGGGAUGACGUCAAAUCAGCACGGCCCUUACGUCCGGGGCUACACACGUGUUACAAUGGGGGGUACAGAAGGCGGCUACCUGGUGACAGGAUGCUAAUCCCAAAAACCUCUCUCAGUUCGGAUCGAAGUCUGCAACCCGACUUCGUGAAGCUGGAUUCGCUAGUAAUCGCGCAUCAGCCAUGGCGCGGUGAAUACGUUCCCGGGCCUUGUACACACCGCCCGUCAAGCCAUGAAAGCCGGGGGUACCUGAAGUACGUAACCGCAAGGAGCGUCCUAGGGUAAAACUGGUAAUUGGGGCU